GCAACUAAAAAGUAGAAUGGGGUUACUGCAGUCAAUAGUUUAUUUAAUCACUUUCACAUUGACAAUUGAAUAUCAAGCGGCAAAUUAAAGUACUGUGUCUUUAUUCAACGUAAAGAACAGCAAAACCUGGACAAAGGUAGGUUAAAAACAUAAUUUCCGUAUUGUCAUUAGCCUCACAAACAAACCUUCACAACAGAGAAAAAUCAACAUUUUCAGUCAGGGUUCUACAAAAAAACAACUCCACCUCUGACAGAUUGACGUCACCAUUACACCGUAGUCUUUAAAAAAAAAACAGCAACACAGCGAGUCGUCAAAUAAACCCCCUCGCAGACACUCUGCCUUCAUAUCAACAAUAAGAUCAAAUCACAUCAGAUAUGCUGGCUACUGAUCAGUUGAAUAAUUGUGUAUUUGAUCAUUGCAUCCUUUAAUACAGCAGGACAGAGCACAGUGCCACAUAAGAUUCAGAAGAAGCCGCAGGUUUCCACACAGGUUAAAUAUGCAAGCUCACUGUUUCCUGAAACUAGGUCACUGUGAUGAAAGAUGUAAAAUGUGCUUGGCUUAAUUAACUUUGGGGUCACAGGGAAAGUGCAGCAUUCACAGUGCAGUACACCAAUCCAAACUUAGUACAGUCAGAAAACUGUGGUUAUGAAUAAAACUCUUAUACUUAAUAUAUAAUUGAUCAUAUCUUUUAUCAUAGCAAGGAAAAGCAACCUAGCCACUUUAUAGUCAAAACUAUUCUACAGUAGAACCUCAGAUAUUCAUGGCACAUUUUCCACACAUCCUUCUUUUCUCUAAUGCGUGCAGAGAAAAAAAAGAGAGGUUAUUUGGCUCUAAAUAUAAUGGACUAGAUGGUCCACCUCCUUAUACAAUUCAAUACUGAACAGGAAGUGAACCACUAGAGAAUGACUUUGACCUUCUGUUUGUCUUGUCUGACAACAUACUGUUUGUGCACAGUUCCAAACUGUAGUUGACAGAUCCUUGUACAGGAUCCAUGGUAGAGUCACUUGACUAUCCUAAGCAAUAAUUUGGCUGAGCAUCUGAAAUGACGCACUACUGAGUAGUGUUUUACCCCUGCCAUUAAAUCAUUUACUGAUGCGAAUGGGUCAGCUGUUGACGCGUAAUAUGGAGAAUGUCCAUCAUCAACGCCUCGAUGCAUGUUAAACAGGUCAGGGUCUGGCUAUGCAAAUGUAAUCUCCCACACAACUCGCCUGCUUUAUCAAAUUGUGUCUUAAUUAACGCCCUUCAGAUAUUUUUAAUGCCAAACCAAAUCUCUCUGAGAGCAAAACAUGAAACGAUGAAAUAUCCUUGGGCACAUCAUUUCUUUACUCUUUUUUGAAAAGGUCAUUUGGCACAACAAAUAAUCUGGAAAUAAUGGAGAUAUACUGAAUGGUUGAGGCAACAAAUCAUAAACGGUACAUAUUGAGGCAGACAUUUCAUCAUCAUUGACUCAUGACUAUAUUUCAGCUGUGGGGUGAUUCACAUCACCCGCUCCUUUCUCCACUAAAUAAAAAAGUGUGGACACUCCUGUAUAAUAUCUAUAGUCUCCAUCUGCUGUCCUUGUAUUUGUAUGCAGUACAUCACAGAAAAGACACUCCAAGUGUCAGGUGACUGUUCCUUGGUGCAAUCAAGAAUGCCAACACAGAUUGUGCAGUCGGUGCCUUGUCCCAUAUGGGAUUUCCUUGUUCCGUCCUUCUUUUUGCAUUGAAUCACAGUGCGAACACCACUAACAAAAUGAAUAGCAUGCGCUAGAGUACAGUCCAAAUGACAGAGGUAACCACCAAGAGGCACAAGAUUUAUGUUUCAAUGAGACACAUGUCAAAACUCACCAGAUGACUCGGGCAGAUUUUUUUCAUUUUUUUGCUGUUUAAAGUUUUUUUUCCCCUCACCCUUUUGUGUGGUUACUUAAUACACGAGUCCACAUACAAUGUCCUUGAAAUCCCAACUGUCAUUUACAAUUUUCUGAGCAGUGAGCAGACAAAGGAGAAAGGGCUCUUUAACAUACAGGGUCCUGUCAUUGAGAGUAACGGGAUAGAUGCUUCAACAUGGGAUUGCAACGACUAGCACGGCCAAUACAGAGAGCUACUGCCAGAGUCCCUAGUCAUCUGGGAGCUCUCUCUGUGUGGAGGCAGUCUCCACUCCCUCAGUGCUUUGGGACAUGCAGUUAAAUCACAGGAGAACAGGGUACAGUAUGUACGGCAUCCGGUCAUUCAGAGUUAGGUAUGAAAAGUACACGCAAGGUACUGAUCUUGCUGCGAAGCCACGCAUCACCAAUGUCAAUGUCUCAUAGCAUUGAAGGGGCUUCAGAGCUGAUCAAUACCAAAAAGUACUAACCUGACUUAGUUAUAGUCCACAAACUCUCUAUUUCAGUUGUAUUCACAGUAUCUACAGAAAUUCACAACUUAAUACUAUUAUUUUGGGGAAUAAUUAGAGUAUUUGCCCUUAGUUUAAACAUUUGAUUAAUUUGUCUAUUUGUUUGUCUACUGGUUUCUGCCCAUCAACAUUUGUUAUGACUCUGUAUAGGCUAUAUCAUAUAGAACAUGUAUGUCUUAUAUUGUAUGUGUUAAUUAGCAUAAAUAUAUUUACUAUGUAUGUCUUCAUAUACAAAUAUAUUCCUUAUAUAUAUAUGAUUUUAUGAUGAUUAGGUGUCCUUUCUGUAGUUAUCAACCUGUUAGAAGGAAAAUCCUCAGCUUCAACAGAGCUUUAUACUACACAGUAUCUUAGUGAGCAACUGAAACACUGAUACAAGACUAAGCCUUAGAUUUCAAUAUGGCAAAUAUCAUUACUGAAGGUUGCAGACUUCCACACGUACAGACUGUCAUGCAGAUGUUUGAUACAUUGUACAUGGUUUUUGUUUUUAACACAUUUCUAUCCAUUCGAAAGGUGUUUCUCCUUUGAACGUAGUCUUGUUUUGAGAGAUGGUUGAGAACAUACUGCAUGUUGGGUUCAGGGCAAGUCAUCUGUGUAACAAUCACAGAACACUCUGGAAACACAUCGCAAAAGUCCUGCGCAACGUCCUUACUUUCACCCACAAGCUGUAUGACUUGAGCACAACAUAUUUUAGCAUAACAUCUGCCUCUCCUUCACCCCUGCUUUAUGUAUGUGGAUGUGUAAAACAGUUGAACAACGUUUCGAAUGAUUUGUAGCCUGCGGUGUGGUAUGUUGAACAAGACAUGCGUUUUCCUGUCCACAGUCACCUUUGUUAUGUAAAUCAUAAGUUACACAAAAUUCUACCAAAAUCUAUAGAAUGGGAAUGAGACAACACGGGAAAUGAUCAUAUUCAAAAAGAAGUAGCCUUUUCUAAAUCAGACCUCAAACGUGUAUCACAAUCUCAUGAAGAAAUGAACACAGGGGUCAAAGCUUUCAUCAGAAAAACAUCCGUUAACCUUGUACUGCAGUGGGCUGAAUCAGGGUCACACAGAGUGUUUCUGGGUAGUCUUAAACAAAUCUACUUUGAAACAAAAGUACACACCUCACACACAUGGUUAUGGGCUUAACAAAAAGAGGACAACUGUACCAUGUAGAGUUGAAAUGUAUUCAAUUUUAAGUUUGCAUCCCAAUAUGACUUUUUAUAUACAUCACAGAAGACUGAAAUAUAACAAAACUGUUUGACUUAGAAACACUGGAUCAGGUUUAUUGAAAUAAUGUUAAUUAGUUAUGAUAUUAUGACAAAUAUUAAUAACACCCAUGAGGCCACUAGGUCAUUUGACUGCAGGAAAGGGCUACCGACUAAAGUCCAGAAUAUUUACUAUAGAUAGAACAUGGUUGACAAAAUUAACAAAUGAAAGUGUUACUAUAUAAAUGUUGUCUAUAUUAUCUAUAUUAGAAGUCAGUCUGAGCUGUUGAUGUGUCAGAAUACUAUGCAAGCUAUAAAUCAAAAUAAUAAUUCAUUAAACUUCUAUAGUGCUUUUCAUAGAAUCUCAAAGCACUUCAACAGCAAACAAAAAACUAAUUCACAAUAUAUCAUGACAGGUCAAUGAGCUACUGUGUGUGGCUCACUGAGGCUGACCCCUGUAAGCAAUACAUGAGAAUGUACAUAGAGAAUAUUUUAUAACGCUGCAUCAGUCACAUUAUGAUUACAUUUCAUCCAGUGGUAGUGACUCACUAUUCUCUGCAGCUUCCCCUCUAACUUACAUAGACCUGAAGCAUGAUAUGUGUUUGGAGAAUUCACCUCGCUGACCAUGUCCCCUAGGGACCGUGGGCUGUAGGUGGAGGGAGAGAAGGGGGAGCCGCCACACAGACCUAAACCAUAUAGGCCCCAUAUGUAUCUGUGUGUGUGUGUAUGUACUAUAUGUAUGUGUUUGUGUGUGUGUAUGUACUAUAUGUAUGUGUUUGUGUGUGUGUAUGUACUAUAUGUAUGUGUUUGUGUGUGUGUAUGUACUGUAUGUAUGUGUUUGUGUGUGUAUGUACUGUAUGUAUGUGUUUGUGUGUGUGUAUGUACUGUAUGUAUGUGUUUGUGUGUGUGUAUGUACUGUAUGUAUGUGUUUGUGUGUGUAUGUACUGUAUGUAUGUGUUUGUGUGUGUGUAUGUACUGUAUGU
ensembl:lncRNA